rnacentral:tRNA from 1 species
ACUUAAAUAGUUUAAUAGAAAAUUUUGAUUUGUGGUGUCAAUGAUAUGAAUUUAAAUUCAUUUUAGGUC